rnacentral:snRNA from 1 species
GAGUGAAAAUAGACCAUUAU